rnacentral:lncRNA from 1 species
AAUAAAACCCACACAUGCUCUUGACUUCAUGAGAUUCACCCUAAAAGAAUUGCAAAGAUACUGAUAUUACUGUCAUUUUCCAUGGCUGCAAUCAGCAUGCACACACAUGCACUGUAAAUGCAUGACCAGUAGCUGAUCUGCCGUCUCUGUACGUAGGUGUGGGGACUUUAGGGGUCUCUGCUGCACAGGCCAAAGCUGCUAAAUAUGGUACUGGAGCUGGAUUUGGUGGGGCUGGAGCUUUUCCGGGUGGUGCUGGUGGACUUUACCCUGGUAUAGGAGGUAAGGAUGCAUUUUCCUCUGAAAUCCCCUAAAACAACAAUCAACAUUUUUAUAUAAAAAAAUUGUCCAUAUUGAAAUGUAAGUAAUUUACUCAAGUGGCUAGUUUAGUGUUUACAUAUUUUCUUGGGUGUUGGAGUUGGUUUAGGUGGUGUUGGAGCAGGUGGUGCUGGUGGAGUUUACACAGGGGCAGGAGGUGAAAAAUAAUUUUGCUAAAGAAUGGUUUAGGAGCUGCAAUC